GGGCGCGUAGCUCAGCGGGAGAGCACUCCCUUCACACGGGAGGGGUCACAGGUUCAAUCCCUGUCGCGCCCA
rfam:Paramesorhizobium deserti strain A-3-E Scaffold3, whole genome shotgun sequence.